rnacentral:misc_RNA from 1 species
GGAAUAAAAGUCGUAACAAGGUUUCCGUAGGUGAACCUGCGGAAGGAUCAUUACCGAAUUGUCAAACGGGUUGUUGCUGGUCUUCAAACGGGGACAUGUGCACGCUCUGUUUACACAUCCACUCACACCUGUGCACCCUCCGUAGUUCUAUGGUCUGGGGGACCCUGUCUUCCUGGCGUGGUUCUACGUCUUUACACACACUCUGUAAUAAAGUCUUAUGGAAUGUAUGCCGCGUCUAACGCAAUACAAUACAACUUUCAGCAACGGAUCUCUUGGCUCUC